UACGUAGGGUGCAAGCGUUGUCCGGAAUUAUUGGGCGUAAAGAGCUCGUAGGCGGUCUGUCGCGUCGGCUGUGAAAACUCGGGGCUCAACCCCGAGCCUGCAGUCGAUACGGGCAGACUAGAGUGCGGUAGGGGAGACUGGAAUUCCUGGUGUAGCGGUGAAAUGCGUAGAUAUCGGGAGGAACACCUGUGGCGAAAGCGGCUCACUGGACCACAACUGACGCUGAGGCGCGAAAGCUAGGGAGCA
rnacentral:rRNA from 1 species